AACACAGCUCUGCUAAUUCUUCUUCUGGCGCUCUCGACAUCUGCCUGUAAGUGAAAUAUAAUUGCAUUAUUUGUAAUAGAUGUAAUAAACACAUGAACUGUUGUAAGCAUUUGCUGUUACACUUAUGCAAGUGCAUACCAGGUACCAUACAUGCUACAUGGUCUUGAUGAAUGUGCCUGCAGACUGCUAAAGCUGUAACCAGAUGUGUGGUUACGCUAUAUUUGGCGCAAUAUGCGUUCUUUCUAGUCAAUUAAAUUCACGGCAACGUUGCACUUUUCAUCAGCAAACUUACGAUGCAAGAGCAUGCCUCGCGGAAGCUGUAUCUACAGAUUCCGUUAUGAAAUCCAUGAAUCAGGUGAAACUGUUUCCUAUUAUGUGCUGCACGGGACAGCUCUUGUAGGCUUCAUUAGUUACGGAAAAAUGGCGGCAUGCGGCGUUACUGUCCAAAGUCGCAUUAGGGAUUGGGGGGAGAGGUGGCUGGAGUCCAGUGCGCGAACUCAUUGAGCGAACAGCGUAGCUUCCUCAACUGGAGAGUACCAUUGAACUGCUCCUCAACUGAAGCUUACCUAUCUGCAAUCGCCUCAUAAGACCCGUUUCCUUCCUAAGUGUACUAGUUGAAGAUGUGAUCGAGUUCUUUGCAAGAGGGUACUGAAGUCGCUUGAGUUGGAGUAGCUUAGUGCUUAAUGACCACUGAAAGGAUGGACCUGUUGCAGUGGAGGCACCCUAUCUUCGCUUCGUCUUGAAGCCUUGUUUAGCUUUCUCCCCCGCGAUAGCGAUAGGUGAACUGCGGACACCACAACUGAGUCGCUUGUUCAGGCGUACGCACGUUCCGAACAGGCGCCCAGACACAGUGCUUGCCGACAUGCCUUUGCAAGGCUAGAGCUCACUGCAGCGCAUCAUCAUCAUAUGGCUUUUACGCUUGAUUUUUUUAUAUCAGCAGAUAUUCUCCAAUACGGUAACACGAAAUAUACAUAUGUCAUUAUUACCAUGAGGGAACUGAAUUUAUUUUGUUUCCUUGCACUGCCCAGUUAAGAUAUUGUGCAGAACUAUGUGAGGGCAACUAAAUGUUACACGCCCCACCUGACCAAUUUUAAUUCCCAGUACAUAUACAGCUGCUUACAAGGAAGGGCGUGCUUCUCAGAGAAUGGCUUUAAAUGCUCGCAGAGCUGAUGGUUGGAUGUGUCACAUAGGGUCAGACGUAAUGUCCAUUCCCAUAUAUCCCGUGUAGCAUGCCUGUCUCUCUUUGUAUAAAGCUGUUUAAAUCGCAUCGCAGUAUUUCACCGUUUUCUACUUCAUGAAAGCUGCAGUCAUGACUAAAGGUAGUGAAGGAACGGUGUAACAGAUCUAUUUAUUUGUCAUAUUUCAUUGCACAAUUACGGAAAUACGCACAAUACUCACAAAAGUCGAAUAAACUUACACAAAAAAGGGGAAAUAGAGAACGUAACCCUUCGUUAAGCUGUGCCACGAAUACUGGGAAUUUUUUGUAUGCAUUAUUUUUAGAGCUCUUAUUUUUCUAUCACGAAUAAGCGGCGACAAGUGUGACGCUUGUACUGAAAUACUCAGUCUUUGUAUUCGUUCGUGGCAACCACUCACAAAAAAUAAGCUUGCUUUCGUUGUGAAGCAAGACUAUAAUGUGGCCUUCGCGCGCAUAAGUCCUUGCUUCUGUAAAUUUUUUGCACAAUGAUUUACAUAACAUUUUUCUAUAUUUCGUUCUCUUCCUGCCACUUAUGCCUUCCAGAUGCAGCCACAAUGUAAGUAAAGUUCACUUUCUGCUUCUUUCUUCUGUUGGUCAGCAAGCAGGAACGUAAGCUAAUCUUAUGCGCUCUCUUUCCAUGUCAAAAGCCCCGCAGAUGCGACCAAAAGCCUGGCUGAGCUGAAAUCGCUCAAGAAAAGUUAUGAAGUCAUUGAGAAACUCCUCCUGGGCAACCAAUCCCCACUGACCACCGAGGAAGAGGAAUCAGUCGUGGAAUCUUUGAAGGCUCUCACAAAUCUGGAAGCAAACCUUGAUCCUGAAAGUGAAGAGUAUUUCCUGGCGAAUUUUAUUCAGAAAGUUGUUGUCUGGGCAGUUCAAAAGGGUGUGUCCAAGGCUGUCUCACAUGGUGUUGGGGCUGUGAUUAGUAAAGUGGGAUAAAUGAGCAGUAAUUCUAUCGACCACUGCGGCACAAAUAAAAUACGUGCACACAA